CCUACGGGUGACAGCAGUGGGGGAUAUUGCACAAUGGGGGGAACCCUGAUGCAGCGACGCCGCGUGGGUGAAGAAGCGCCUCGGCGCGUAAAGCCCUGUCAGCAGGGAAGAAAAUGACGGUACCUGAAGAAGAAGCCCCGGCUAACUACGUGCCAGCAGCCGCGGUAAUACGUAGGGGGCAAGCCUUAUCCGGAUUUACUGGGGGGAAAGGGGGCGCAGACGGCGAUGCAAGCCAGGAGUGAAAGCCCGGGGCCCAACCCCGGGACUGCUCUUGGAACUGCGUGGCGGGAGUGCAGGAGGGGCAGGCGGAAUGCCUGGUGUAGCGGUGAAAUGCGUAGAUAUCAGGAGGAACACCGGUGGCGAAGGCGGCCUGCUGGACUGCAACUGACGUUGAGGCCCGAAAGCGUGGGGAGCAAACAGGAUUAGAUACCCCAGUAGUC
rnacentral:rRNA from 1 species